rnacentral:lncRNA from 1 species
UCCCAAAAGGGGCAUUAGAAAUCCUGGCGUUUUGCUGAUGUUCUGCUUCUUGAUGUAGAUGCUUAUACUGUAGAGCACAUCUCUUCAAGGAGAACUACAAACCACUGCUCAACGAAAUAAAAGAGGACACAAACAAAUGGAAGAACAUUUCAUGCUCAUGGACAGAAAGAAUCAAUAUCGUGAAAAUGGCCAUACUACCCUAGGUAAUUUAUAGAUUCAAUGCCAUCCCCAUCAAGCUACCAAUGACUUUCUUCACAGAAUAGGAAAAAACUACUUUAAAGUUCAUAUGGAAUCAAAAAAGAGCCCGCAUUGCCAAGAUAAUCCUAAGCCAAAAGAACAAAGCUGGAGGCAUCAUGCUACCUGACCUCGAACUAUACUACAAGGCUACAGUAACCAAAACAGCAUGGUACUGGUACCAAAACAGAGAUAUAGACCAAUGGAACUCAACAGAGCCCUCAGAAGUAAUACCACACAUCUACAACCAUCUCAUCUUUGACAAACCUGACAAAAACAAGAAAUGGGGAAAGGAUUCCCUAUUUAAUAAAUGGUGCUGGGAAAACUGGCUAGCCAUACGUAGAAAUCUAAAAUUGGAUGCCUUGCUUACACCUUAUACAAAAAUUAAUUCAAGAUGGCUUAAAGACUUAAAUGUUAGACCUAAAACCAUAAAAACCCUAGAAGAAAACCUAG